rnacentral:misc_RNA from 1 species
UUGCUUCAUUUUGUUUCAUAGGUAGACGACGCGUCUCAGUGUUGGGCUGUCGUCCGCCGGGGGGCCUGGCCUGUGGCCGGGUCGCCCCCGAGGCACGGUAUCGUCUGAUGCGACUUCAAGGGUGGGAGUUCGGGCCUGGGGCCCUCGCUCGGUAAUGAUCCCUCCGCAGGUUCACCUACGGAAA